GUGAUGCAACAUAUAUUAGUAUAUUAAAACCUGUUUGUUGGCACCUUUUCCUCCACAUUUACACACACCAGGGAAGGAGAAGGAAGUCAAUAGACAGCUAAUUUAUUUUCUGACAAAUCCAUACCACCAAAAGGGGGUCUGAAGGUGACAGCGAUGACUCAGAGGUGUCUCCUGACAGAAUUAGAGACUGCAGGGAUACCCUAACCCCCACCUUCGGCUAGACAAGAAGCAUCAUGGUUUGAGAUGAAACCACAGAGGUGGAGGAGACGGAGAGCGAUGUGUAGUACGCAGAAGGAGAAACAGUGCAUCAUACAAUGUGUGUGUAUGUAGCACUACAGAGUGCAAUUAAAAUGGAAAUACAUGUAUACUCCAGUUGUGAUGUGGCAGCUGGUUCUGAGCCAGAAUCUCAAAGUUCAUCUGUUCAUUUAUUACUGCUGUUUUUCUCUGAUUAAUUUCUUUUCUUUUACUUUAUUUAGCCUUUGUCACACUGCCAUAUACGUGUAUAUAUAUAUAUUUUUUUUAUCUACAUAUGUUCAUUUGUGCAGCUUUGUUUCUUUAUUUAUGUUCUGUGAAUUUUGUGUUUGCUUUGUCUGUAUUUCCUUUAUUUCUUCUUCUGAUUUUAUUCCACUAUUUGUUUUCUGCUUUUCAACUGUGGUAUAUACUAGUAAUAGUAGGGUUUCCUUAUUCACUGCACUUACUUAAUUGGGUGAAAGAAAGUUAAUUUACAUAAAAGGUAUACUCCUUGAAUGUCUGUCACCUGUGGGACCAUGUUUAUGGUAAUGCCUUUGAAGUACACACCAAAUUUUAAAGAGAGAUCACAGUGUAUCUGUUUUUGUGUGUAU